rnacentral:rRNA from 1 species
GAUGAACGCUGGCGGCGUGCCUAAUACAUGCCAGUCGAGCGAACAGACGAGGAGCUUGCUCCUCUGACGUUAUCGUCGGACGGGUGAGUAACACGUGGAUAACCUACCUAUAAGACUGGGAUAACUUCGGGAAACCGGAGCUAAUACCGGAUAAUAUAUUGAACCUCAUGGUUCAAUAGUGAAAGACGGUUUUGCUUUCACUUAUAGAUGGAUCCGCGCCGCAUUAGCUAGUUGGUAAGGUAACGGCUUACCAAGGCGACGAUGCGUAGCCGACCUGAGAGGAGGAACGGCCACAUUGGGACUGAGACACGGCAAAGACUCCUAAGGGAGGGAGCAGGGGGGAAGAUUCAGAGAUGGGAGAAAGGCUGACGAAGCAAUGCCGCGUGAGUGAUGAAGAUCUUCGGGUAGUAAAGCUCUGUUAAUAGGGAAGAAAAGACAUCUAGGGAACAGUGAGAGGGAUUGAAGGUACGGGAAUAGAAAGCAACGGAUAAUUAGGU